UACGUAGGGUGCAGGCGUUAAUCGGAAUUACUGGGCGUAAAGCGUGCGCAGGCGGUCUGCUAAGAGAGGUGUGAAAUCCCCGGGCUUAACCUGGGAACUGCGCUUCUAACUGGCAGGCUUGAGUGUGGCAGAGGGGGGUGGAAUUCCACGUGUAGCAGUGAAAUGCGUAGAGAUGUGGAGGAACACCGAUGGCGAAGGCAGCCCCCUGGGCUAACACUGACGCUCAGGCACGAAAGCGUGGGGAGCAAACAGG
rnacentral:rRNA from 1 species